UACGUAGGGUGCAAGCGUUAAUCGGAAUUACUGGGCGUAAAGCGUGCGCAGGCGGUUAUGUAAGACAGUUGUGAAAUCCCCGGGCUCAACCUGGGAACUGCAUCUGUGACUGCAUAGCUAGAGUACGGUAGAGGGGGAUGGAAUUCCGGCGUGUAGCAGUGAAAUGCGUAGAUAUGCGGAGGAACACCGAUGGCGAAGGCAAUCCCCUGGACCUGUACUGACGCUCAUGCGACGAAAGACGUGGGGAGCAAACGAGGAU
rnacentral:rRNA from 1 species